rnacentral:rRNA from 1 species
UGGGGAAUUUUGGACAAUGGGCGAAAGCCUGAUCCAGCAAUGCCGCGUGUGUGAAGAAGGCCUUCGGGUUGUAAAGCACUUUUGUCCGGAAAGAAAUCCUUGGCUCUAAUACAGUCGGGGGAUGACGGUACCGGAAGAAUAAGCACCGGCUAACUACGUGCCAGCAGCCGCGGUAAUACGUAGGGUGCAAGCGUUAAUCGGAAUUACUGGGCGUAAAGCGUGCGCAGGCGGUUUGCUAAGACCGAUGUGAAAUCCCCGGGCUCAACCUGGGAACUGCAUUGGUGACUGGCAGGCUAGAGUAUGGCAGAGGGGGGUAGAAUUCCACGUGUAGCAGUGAAAUGCGUAGAGAUGUGGAGGAAUACCGAUGGCGAAGGCAGCCCCCUGGGCCAAUACUGACGCUCAUGCACGAAAGCGUGGGGAGCAAACAGGAUUAGAUACCCUGGUAGUCCACGCCCUAAACGAUGUCAACUAGUUGUUGGGGGAUUCAUUUCCUUAGUAACGUAGCUAACGCGUGAAGUUGACCGCCUGGGGAGUACGGUCGCAAGAUUAAAACUCAAAUGAAUUGAC